AAGCAGCCACUCAUUCAAAGAGUGCGUAAUAGCUCACUGGUCGAGUGAUCCUGCGCCGAAGAUUUCCGGGGCUAAAACUUACUACCGAAGCUACGGCAUCAUUAUGAUGGGUAGGGGAGCUUACCAUACGGGUUGAAGCAUGACCGUAAGGACAUGUGGACAGUAUGGGAGUGAGAAGGUUGGCAUGAGUAGCGAGAUGUGGGUGAGAAUCCCACAGGCCGUAAACCCAAGGUUUCCAGGGGAAGGUUCGUCCGCCCUGGGUUAGUCGGGACCUAAGCUGAGGCCGAAAGGCGUAGGUGAUGGACAACAGGUUGAUAUUCCUGUACUACCGAUAACCGU
rnacentral:rRNA from 1 species